ensembl:misc_RNA 7SK 7SK RNA
AGAUGUGAGGGCGAUCUGACUGUGACAUCUGUCACCCCAUUGAUCACCAGGGUUGAAUUUGGCUGGUCUGGCUGGCUAGGCAGGUGUCCCCCUCUUUCCUCGCCGAUCCAUGUGCAUCCCUCCCAAAGCUGCAUGGUCGGUCAAAGAGGACACCCUUCCCCCCAGAGGAGAGUAUUGGUCUUCGGUCAAGAGUAGCUGCACUCCCCUGCUAGAACCUCCAAACGAGCUCUCAAAUAGCCCUGCCACUUGAAGCAUAUGACCCACCAGGCCAUCUGUUGUUGGAGAUGUCAGUGGUGGGAAAGGAUGAAGUAAGGACCUUAUAGCAAGCUCCAGUGGGAGAAU